AUUGAACGCUGGCGGCACGCCUUACACAUGCAAGUCGAACGGUAACAGGUUAAGCUGACGAGUGGCGAACGGGUGAGUAAUGUAUCGGAACGUGCCCAGUCGUGGGGGAUAACUGCUCGAAAGAGCAGCUAAUACCGCAUACGACCUGAGGGUGAAAGCGGGGGAUCGCAAGACCUCGCGCGAUUUGAGCGGCCGAUAUCAGAUUAGGUAGUUGGUGGGGUAAAGGCCUACCAAGCCUACGAUCUGUAGCUGGUCUGAGAGGACGACCAGCCACACUGGGACUGAGACACGGCCCAGACUCCUACGGGAGGCAGCAGUGGGGAAUUUUGGACAAUGGACGCAAGUCUGAUCCAGCCAUGCCGCGUGCGGGAAGAAGGCCUUCGGGUUGUAAACCGCUUUUGUCAGGGAAGAAAAGGUUCUGGUUAAUACCUGGGACUCAUGACGGUACCUGAAGAAUAAGCACCGGCUAACUACGUGCCAGCCGCCGCAGUAACAC
rnacentral:rRNA from 1 species